AUCGUUCCUUUUUGUUUGUUUGAUGCGGUAACCCAAUGUCAAUUGCACGAAGAACGAUGACGAAGAAGGCAGCUCUGGUACCGGCGCGCCACGUCAUCUGGUUUGGUUGGAAGCUUGUCAUCAUCCUCUCUGUCUCCCUCUGCGUCUUUGCACUCUGCAGACUCCACUUCAAAUCCGAUGUCUCGUCCUCUGCUUCUUCUUUUUAUCGCCC
rnacentral:misc_RNA from 1 species